rnacentral:rRNA from 1 species
CACAUCUAAGGAAGGCAGCAGGCGCGCAAAUUACCCAAUCCUGACAUAGGGAGGUAGUGACAAGAAAUAACAAAGCAAGUCUCUUAGAGGCGCUGCGUUGGAAUGAGUAGAAUUUAAAUCUCUGUACGACCAUCAAUUGGAGGGCAAGUCUGGUGCCAGCAGCCGCGGUAAUUCCAGCUCCAAUAGCGUAUAUUAAAGUUGUUGCAGUUAAAAAGCUCGUAGUUGGAUUUCUGUGGGGACGGAGCGGCCGGCCGCACAUCGCGGUUCGAGCUAGCGCUUUCCCUACAUCCUGCCGCGAACCGUGCUACCAUUAAUUUGGUGGCGCCGGGGAUCGGCUCGAUUACUUUGAGAAAAAUAGAGUGUUCAAAGCAGGCCACAUGCCUUGAAUAAGUUAGCAUGGAAUAAUAACUAAGGACUUCGGUUCUAUUUUGUUGGUGUUCGGGACUGAAGUAAUGGUUAACAGGAACAGUUGGGGGCAUUUGUAUUUAAUAGCUAGAGGUGAAAUUCAUAGAUUUAUUAAAGACAAACUAAUGCGAAGGCAUUUGUCAAGGAUGUUUUCAUUAAUCAAGAACGAAGGUUAGGGGAUCGAAGACGAUCAGAUACCGUCGUAGUCCUAACAGUAAACUAUACCGACUAGGGAUUGGUAAGGAAAACCCUUAUCAGCACCUAAUGAGAAAUCAAAGUCUUUGGGUUCUGGGGGGAGUACGGUUGCAAAGCUGAAACUUAAAGGAAUUGACGGAAGGGCACUACCAGAAGUGGAGUCUGCGGCUUAAUUUGAUUCAACACGGGGAAACUCACCAGGUCCAGACACAAUAAGGAUUGACAGAUUGAGAGCUCUUUCUUGAUUUUGUGGGUGGUGGUGCAUGGCCGUUCUUAGUUGGUGGAGUGAUUUGUCUGCUUAAUUGCGAUAACGAACGAGACCUUAACCUACUAAAUAGUUACACGUAACCCAGGUUACGUGGGCAACUUCUUAGAGGGACUUUGCGUGUCUAACGCAAGGAAGUUUGAGGCAAUAACAGGUCUGUGAUGCCCUUAGAUGUUCUGGGCUGCACGCGCGCUACACUGAUGCGUUCAACGAGUAAUUGACCUUGUCUGGCAAGAUUGGGUAAUCUUUUGAAAACGCAUCGUGAUGGGGAUAGAUUAUUGUAAUUAUUAAUCUUCAACGAGGAAUUCCUAGUAAACGCAAGUCAUCAGCUUGCAUUGAUUACGUCCCUGCCCUUUGUACACACCGCCCGUCGCACCCACCGAUUGAAUGGUCCGGUGAAAUCUUCGGAUCGCGACUUUGACUUACUUCCGGGUAAGACGUUGUCAUGAAAAGUGGAUUAAACCUUAUCAUUUAGAGG